rnacentral:rRNA from 1 species
GGAAGGAUCAUUACCGAAUUGUCAACAUGAAGUUGUUGCUGGCCCUCAGAUGGGGGCAUGUGCACACUCUGUUUACACAUCCACUCACACCUGUGCACUCCUCUGUAGUACUGUGGUCUGGGGGUUCUGUCCUCCUACUGUGGUUCUGCGUAUUUAUACACACACACUGUAAUAAAGUCUCAUGGAAUGUAUGCCGCGUUUAACGCAAUGAAAUACAACUUUCAGCAACGGAUCUCUUGGCUCUCGCAUCGAUGAAGAACGCAGCGAAAUGCGAUAAGUAAUGUGAAUUGCAGAAUUCAGUGAAUCAUCGAAUCUUUGAACGCACCUUGCGCCCUUUGGCUAUUCCGAAGGGCAUGCCUGUUUGAGUAUCAUGAACACCUCAACUCUCAUGGCUUGCCAUGAUGAGCUUGGACUUGGGGGUUUUGCUGGCCUACAGUCAGCUCCCCUCAAAUGCAUCAGCUUUCCAGUUUUUGGUGGCACCACAGGUGUGAUAAACAUCUACACGUGUGGUUCCCCACCAUGUAACCUUCAGUGAUGGAGGUUUGCUGGAGCUCACAAAUGUCUUUCCUCAGUGAAGACAGUUCUUUGAUUGUUUGAUCUCAAAUCAGG